CCCGGCUCCGGGAUUCGCUACCUGCCGCCGCUCCACCCCGCCCCGAAGCGGCAGCGGAGCCGGAGCGCGAGGGUGGUGGGCUUCGGGACCUGCUGUCGGCUGUCGCUUGCAGGCGGCCCCACCGCGUUCACGCGGCGGCGGCGGCGAUGGGUAGCGGCGGCGCCGGGGACUCUUCUUCCUGUUCCGCGGCGGCGUCCGAAGCAGAAAAAGGCUCGCUGUGUUCGUGUCCGGCAGGGGCUCCAACUUCCGGUCCAUCCACGACGCCGCCGCCGCGGGCGGCAAGGUGAGCAGCGGGGAUGUGGUCGUGCUCGUCACGGACAAGCCAGUACUCGGGACCGACUGUGCACUUUGUGGAUGAGCACUUCGAUACAGGGAAAACUUUAGCCCGAAGGAUUGUGCUCGUGUUACCCAAUGAUAACAGCAUUCUGUAUGAGGUAACAUCUGUAUCAGCAGCUAUGGCUGCAUGCAUCACUCGAUGCAGAGGCCGGGGCUUAGCCUCCUUUUCUAAAAAAAAAAAAAAAACUGUAUCAGCAGCUGAGAUUUCUCCUGCAGCUGCAUGCUACAUUGUUGUGGUUAUUUUCAAUUCCUUAGCUGCCAACCUACCAUUGGCUUUGACAUCUCAGGAGCACCAUGUUUAUGUCGAGGCAGUUGCCGCCUUGUGCGAGGACCGGAUUGUGUGGCGAGAAGACGGUAUCCUGCUUAUCAGAACUCGGACAGACCCCAAUGCAUACACCUAAAUCGUGGUGCUAUCUUGAGGUGUCUUGAACAGAAAUAGAACUUAUAGAUCCCCUGCCAGUUCCCCCCUGUCUGACAAUCUGGUCCAGAAUAUCAAUGAAAUGAUACACAAUUCUUUGCGUAUUCGCAAAGAAAAAGACAAUCUGGUCCCAGAAUAUCAAUGAAAUGAUACACAAUUCUUUGCGUAUCCGCGAAAAAAAAAGACAAUCUGGUCCCAGAAACAUAACAUGCACCUUGCACGGUGUUCUGCUCGUUUGUGUGGCUUAGCUUUGAAGAUAAUAUGUGCUUCUUUUCAGUAAGUAGUAAUUCACUAACCAAUCUUCACAUAUCCACAUCUCUCCUUUGUUCAAAUGAUGUUUUCUCUUUGAGAUGUCAAUUUGUUUCGUGCUACUGUUUGACAUGCUUCUUUAUGUGAGAGGGAUAGAGAAGGGGAUGGUGCGAAUAGUAGCCAUUCUUGGAGAGCCCUCUCAGACAGCAAGGGAUAAGAGGAAGACGAGCAGGCGGCCAUGCGAGCUGCGUUAUGGUCCCUAUCGCAGAUUGUGGCCGUCAACGCCUGCAUUUCUCUGUUUCCAACAUAUACUGCAUCUUUAGCAUGAUGGCAUACAAAAACUAGACCAGUGGAAAGAUUUUAGUUGCAUAAUCUUCAGAACACAUAAACACAUCUGAUAUUCUUCUUUAGUUACUUGUAUGAAAGCCAACUCCCUUGGGUCAAACUUUUAAGUUUUGUUUUGCUGUAACUUCCAACUUGAUGAAUCCUCGUAUGUUCCUUUUUUCUUCUCUAGUUUUUUUUAUCAUACUUCUCCCCUGUAUAGCAUGCCUUUUGUACACACUUUUCCCAUCUACGCAAUCCUGCAGUUCCAUAUGUUUGGCUGCGCAAUAAUGAAUUCUUCGCGCUCA